rnacentral:rRNA from 1 species
GAUGAACGCUGGCGGCGUGCUUAACACAUGCAAGUCGAACGAGGAAGCCCAGCUUGCUGGGUGGAUUAGUGGCGAACGGGUGAGUAACACGUGAGUAACUUGCCCUUAACUCUGGGAUAAGCCUGGGAAACUGGGUCUAAUACCGGAUAGGAGCGUCCACCGCAUGGUGGGUGUUGGAAAGAUUUAUCGGUUUUGGAUGGACUCGCGGCCUAUCAGCUUGUUGGUGAGGUAAUGGCUCACCAAGGCGACGACGGGUAGCCGGCCUGAGAGGGUGACCGGCCCCACUGAGACUAAGGCACGGCCCAGACUCCUACACGGAGCAUCAGUGGGGAAUAUUGCCCAAUAAGCGCAAGCCUGAUGCGGCGACACCGCGUGAGGGAUGACAGCCUUCGGGUUGUGAACCUCUUUCAGAAGGGAAGAAGCGAAAGUGACGGUACCUGCAGAAGAAGCCCCGGCUAACUACGUG